rnacentral:rRNA from 1 species
UACGGAGGGUGCAAGCGUUAUCCGGAUUUACUGGGUUUAAAGGGUGCGUAGGCGGAAUUGUAAGUCAGUGGUGAAAGCCCCGAGCUUAACUUGGGAAUUGCCAUUGAUACUGCUUUUCUUGAAUACGAUUGAGGUAAGCGGAAUGUUGCAUGUAGCGGUGAAAUGCUUAGAUAUGUUACAGAACACCAAUUGCGAAGGCAGCUUACUAAGUCGUUAUUGACGCUGAGGCACGAAAGCGUGGGUAGCAAACAGG